rnacentral:rRNA from 1 species
CCUACGGGAGGCAGCAGUGAGGAAUAUUGGUCAAUGGGCGCGAGCCUGAACCAGCCAAGUAGCGUGAAGGAUGACUGCCCUCCGGGUUGUAAACUUCUUUUAUAAAGGAAUAAAGUGAGGCACGUGUGCCUUUUUGUAUGUCCCACAUGAAUACGGAUCGGCUAACUCCGUGCCAGCAGCCGCGGUAAUACGGAGGUUCCGAGCGUUAUUCGGAUUUAUUGGGUUUAAAGGGAGCGUAGAUGGAUUGCUAAGUCAGUUGUGAAAGUUUGCGGCUCAACCGUAAAAUUGCAGUUGAAACUGGCAGUCUUGAGUACAGUAGAGGUGGGCGGAAUUCGUGGUGUAGCGGUGAAAUGCUUAGAUAUCACGAAGAACUCCGAUGGCGAAGGCAGUUCACUGGACUGCAACUGACACUGAGGCACGAAAGUGUGGGUAUCAAACAGGAUUAGAUACCCGGGUAGUC